ensembl:snRNA U2 U2 spliceosomal RNA
AUCGCUUCUCGGCCUUUUGGCUAAGAUCAAGUGUAGUAUUUGGGAGUGUGUGGGUGAAAAGAUUGAUCAGAAAGGGAUACAGGAACUUUC